AUGAUUAGCACGGGAGAGACCUUUAAAAAGGCACCGAAGAAGUAAGCUGCAAGCAUGUCGACUUGUAAUGAACCUUUCAGGUAAAAGUGACCGUACUAGGACA
rnacentral:ncRNA from 1 species